UGUGGCUUAGUGGUAGAGCACUUGCCUAGCAUGACCAAGGUCCUGGGUUCAAUCCCCAGCA
rnacentral:tRNA from 1 species